CAACUAUAUGCUAACAGACAAAAAGUGACUCAAACCAUCAAAAUGUCUGGUCCGUAGUUCUGGAUUCAUAGUCUAAUAAAAUGUGUAACACAAAA